UGUUUCGGCUAGGGGGCCAUCCCGGCUUACCAACCCGAUGCAAACUGCGAAUACCGGAGAAUGUUAUCACGGGAGACACACGGCGGGUGCUAACGUCCGUCGUGAAGAGGGAAACAACCCAGACCGCCAGCUAAGGUCCCAAAGUCAUGGUUAAGUGGGAAACGAUGUGGGAAGGCCCAGACAGCCAGGAUGUUGGCUUAGAAGCAGCCAUCAUUUAAAGAAAGCGUAAUAGCUCACUGGUCGAGUCGGCCUGCGCGGAAGAUGUAACGGGGCUAAACCAUG
rnacentral:rRNA from 33 species